rnacentral:rRNA from 1 species
AGUGGGGAAUAUUGGACAAUGGGCGCAAGCCUGAUCCAGCCAUGCCGCGUGAGUGAUGAAGGCCUUAGGGUUGUAAAGCUCUUUUGUCCGGGAAGAUAAUGACCGUACCGGAAGAAUAAGCUCCGGCUAACUUCGUGCCAGCAGCCGCGGUAAUACGAAGGGAGCUAGCGUUGUUCGGAAUUACUGGGCGUAAAGCGCAUGCAGGCGGAUCGUUAAGUCGAGGGUGAAAUCCCAGGGCUCAACCCUGGAACUGCCUUCGAUACUGGCGACCUUGAGUCCGGGAGAGGUGAGUGGAACUCCGAGUGUAGAGGUGAAAUUCGUAGAUAUUCGGAAGAACACCAGUGGCGAAGGCGGCUCACUGGCCCGGUACUGACGCUGAGAUGCGAAAGCGUGGGGAGCAAA